UUGACCAUUCUUCCAAAAGCAUUUGUAAGGUCAGAUAUGUUGGAUGAAAAGCCCUGGGUCACAGUCUUUGCUCCAAAUCAUCUCAAAAGUCUUCUCUUGGGUUGAGUUUGUAGCUUGCAGGCCAGUCAAGCUCUCCCACACUAAUUUGUUCAUUUGUGUGACUCCAGACUUUGUACAUUUGUGCAAAGUCAUGUUGGAACGGGAUGGAGCCUUCCCAAAGCUAUCCCCGAAAAGAUGGAUUUGGAUGGAUGACCCAAUACUUCUGACGAAGAAAAGCCUGCUACCAGCUGCAGCUCAUCAGUUCGUCAACUCAGUGUUCUCAGAGCUUCAAGGAUUCAGAGAUAAUCAUGACAUGCCUGAUUAAUCUGCAGAAUUCACAAAAGCUCCAUUCGUACUCACCUGGACUAUAUACACCUGACUGUCAGCACUUGCCCUCUUUGCCUAGGUAUUCGCUGCCAUUAAAUCACAAUUUUUGGAUCCUCAAAAAUGUUAUCCACACUACUAAACUCACAUUCAUUGUCUUUUCUUUCAUCUGAUUCAUCUCUUCCUUAGAUGUACCCUAUGUAAACAGCUGGUAGAGACUUUACAUCUAUGAACAGCCAUAGUGUUAAACUUCUUGCUUUCUUAGACAAGAAGUUUAAAAGAAAACUUCUUAAG